GCUGGCGGCAUGCCUUACGACAUGCAAAGUCGAACGGCAGCACGGACUUCGGUCUGGUGGCGAGUGGCGAACGGGUGAGUAAUGUAUCGGAACGUACCUUUCAGUGGGGGAUAACGUAGCGAAAGUUACGCUAAUACCGCAUAUUCUGUGAGCAGGAAAGCAGGGGAUCGCAAGACCUUGCGCUGAUUGAGCGGCCGAUAUCAGAUUAGCUAGUUGGUGGGGUAAAGGCCUACCAAGGCUACGAUCUGUAGCGGGUCUGAGAGGAUGAUCCGCCACACUGGAACUGAGACACGGUCCAGACUCCUACGGGAGGCAGCAGUAGGGAAUUUUUGGACAAUGGGGGCAACCCUGAUCCAGCCAUGCCGCGUGAGUGAAGAAGGCCUUCGGGUUGUAAAGCUCUUUCGGCCGGGAAGAAAUCGCAUGGGCCAAUACCCUGUGUGGAUGACGGUACCGGAAUAAGAAGCACCGGCUAACUACGUG
rnacentral:rRNA from 1 species